rnacentral:misc_RNA from 1 species
AAAGAAACUUUCAAGAAUUUGAUGCUUUCUACCAGCAGGUGAUAGAUGAUCACAUCCAAAAGCGAAGCAAACAGCAUAGACAGGAAGAUUUUAUCGAUGUUUUGCUUGAGAUGGGGAGAUUUCAAACUGAAUCUGCUGCAAUUCAAUUGUCCCAAGAUCAUAUUAAAGCGAUUCUCAUGGUAAGAUGACUGAUUUUUUCUUUCUUGUUCCCCUCUUUUUCUUUGUUGAUUAAUAUUUGAUUUGAUAACAAAAUCUUACUGAAGUUUUAAUUACCAGAACAUAUUCCUGGCCGGGGUCGAUACGGGAGCAAUAACCAUGGUUUGGGCCAUGGCAGAGCUUGCUAGACACCCUAAAGAUGGUAGUGAAAGAAACAAUGAGACUGCACCCACCAAGCACACUACUAGUUCCAAGAGAAACCAUGUCCAAAUUCAGCAUCAAUGGCUAUGAGAUUCAGCCCAAGACUCGAAUCCAAGUCAAUGUGUGGGCAAUAGGAAGGGACCCCAAGAUUUGGAGAAACCCAGAAGAGUUCUUUCCGGAGCGGUUCAUAGACAAUCCCAUUGACUUUAGAGGGCAGCAUUAUGAAUUGUUACCAUUUGGUGGUGGCAGGAGAGGCUGUCCUGGAAUCUCUAUGGGAAUAGUUACAGUGGAGCUUGCACUUGCAAACCUUCUCUUUUGUUUUGAUUGGAAGUUGCCUUAUAAUAUGAAGGAGGAAGAUCUCAACAUGGAAGAGGCUGCUGGUCUUACAACUUACAAGAAAGAAGCUCUAAUGCUUGUGCCAAUUAAACAUCAACAUUCUUGAUUGAGAAAAGUUAAGCCCCUGAAUUAUAAGUCAUCCUGACUCCUCUCGAUCAGCGAGCUGCUAUUUCCUGAGUUUUUCUGCUUGGCCAUCUGAAUCUCCUCGGCAAGCGAAGGCAUGCUGUUGUAAGAUGGCAGGGCGUGAGCAAAGUCUGAGGAUGCGAAACCAGUAGGCUAUCGCGUUGCUGACGGCGGGGUUUGGUGAUCAUAUUAGAUGCUGAGAUGAGGAGAAUCGACGGCUUUAAGAUCUCGAUAAGGUCGCGAGAGAGGGAGGAGAGACUUGGGGUGAAGCAGAGCUGCUUUCAUGGAGGAGAGUUUAAGCCGAGAGAAGAAGGGACCGAGGAAGGAAAUGAUGAGUGAGGAGAGGUAGGGGCGACGCAGACAAAGAUGAGGGGAAAGGAGAGCUAAGACAGAGAAAGGGAAGAAGAGCGUUAAUGGUGGAUGAGAGACAGAACGAGAGGAGUGAGUGAAACGAUCAAAGAGGAAUACUCUGAUGCUUCAAGCUUCCAAACCCACA